rnacentral:rRNA from 1 species
UCCUACGGGGGGCAGCAGUGGGGAAUAUUGGGCAAUGGGCGCAAGCCUUACCCAGCAAUACCGCGUGAGUGAAGAAGGUCUUCGGAUUGUAAAGCUCUUUGAUCAGGGACGAACAGAUGACGGUACCUGAAGAACAAGCCCCGGCUAACUACGUGCCAGCAGCCGCGGUAAAACGUAGGGGGCGAGCGUUGUCCGGAUUUACUGGGUGUAAAGGGCGUGCAGCCGGGCUGACAAGUCAGAUGUGAAAUCCCGCGGCUCAACCGCGGAACUGCAUUUGAAA